rnacentral:rRNA from 1 species
AUUGAACGCUGGCGGCAGGCCUAACACAUGCAAGUCGAGCGAGCGGCGGACGGGUGAGUAAUGUAUGGGGACUGCCCGAUAGAGGGGGAUAACUACUGGAAACGGUAGCUAAUACCGCAUACUAUCGGAUAGACCAUAUGGGAGUAGCUAGUGGGUGGGGUAAUGGCUCACCAAGCCGACGAUCCCUAGCUGGUCUGAGAGGAUGAUCAGCCACACUGGGACUGAGACACGGCCAAGACUCCUACGGAGGCAGCAGGGGGGAAUAUUGCACAAUGGGCGCAAGCCCGAUGCAGCCAUGCCGCGUGUAUGAAGAAGGCCCUAGGGUUGUAAAGUACUUUCAGUCGGGAGGCGGUACCGACAGAAGAAGCACCGGCUAACUCCGUGCCAGCAGCCGCGGUAAUUC